rnacentral:rRNA from 1 species
AAUAUUGGACAAUGGGCGAAAGCCUGAUCCAGCCAUGCCGCGUGUGUGAAGAAGGNCUNNGGAUUNUNAAGCACGUUAAGUUGNNNNNAAGGGUUGUAGGUUAAUACCCUGCAAUUUUGACGUUACCAACAUAAUAAGCACCGGCUAACUUCGUGCCAGCAGCCGCGGUAAUACGAAGGGUGCAAGCGUUCAUCGGAAUUACUGGGCGUAAAGCGCGCGUAGGUGGUUCAGUAAGAUGGAAGUGAAAUCCCCGGGCUUAACCUGGGAACUGCUUUCAUAACUGCUGAGCUAGAGUACGGUAGAGGGUAGUGGAAUUUCCUGUGUAGCGGUGAAAUGCGUAGAUAUAGGAAGGAACACCAGUGGCGAAGGCGACUACCUGGACUGAUACUGACACUGAGGUGCGAAAGCGUGGGGAGCAAACAGG